UACGUAGGGGGCUAGCGUUGUCCGGAAUUAUUGGGCGUAAAGAGCUCGUAGGCGGCUUGUCACGUCGGGUGUGAAAGCCCGGGGCUUAACCCCGGGUCUGCAUUCGAUACGGGCUGGCUAGAGUGUGGUAGGGGAGAUCGGAAUUCCUGGUGUAGCGGUGAAAUGCGCAGAUAUCAGGAGGAACACCGGUGGCGAAGGCGGAUCUCUGGGCCAUUACUGACGCUGAGGAGCGAAAGCGUGGGGAGCGAACAGG
rnacentral:rRNA from 1 species